GUCGGUCGGGUCAAUCUGCUGGAGCCCAUACAUCCAACACACAGGAUGUCGACUAUAAUUCAACGGUUGCUGCAGCUGCACAGAGCCUUAUAAGUGUGCUCAGACAGAACCUUUCUCAGGGACAGCAAGAGCAAGGAAGAAAGCAGGAGCAGGAAUUGUCUUCUGUAGAUCAGGAUAUGGCCAGAUCUUUCCCUGGAUUUUUCACAAGGAAAAGUUACCUUGGAAAGCGAAAGAUACCGAGUCAAAAGACCUGUGGCACAGCAUCUAAAAAAUUCUGGAGGCCUUUUAGUUUCUAUGCAUACCUGUUAAACAUGAAUGCAGAGACGACCCCAACCUCAUCUGAGGAGAUUGAACAUGCCCAGGCAGGACUUGGAAAACGACAUCUCACCAUGUCCUGGGAUAUGAGCCAUGAAGAGUUCUUCAGCCUACUACAAAAUGAGUAUCCUAAGAUGCAGGGACUGACAGGAGGAUGGCUACUCUACAAGGCUACAGGUGGUCAGGGUAGAAGGAGACUGAUUAUGAUUCCUCCUGAUUCUGAUGGAUACACUGGGACCCUUAUUCGCACAGUUUCAGGGGCAGGAAAAAACACCCUGUAUAUUGUGCCUUUGCAACAUGAGUUUGACCUAACACCGCUACCUCCAGAUGCCAUUGAAUGCCAAAAGCACAAUGCCAAAUGUGCAAAGUGAGUUUUCCUUUGCCGAUUUUGGCCCUUCAUGUUCAGGAAUGCAUGGUGUCUCAGAUAGACUCAGCAUCAGAGGAUGUUGAGACAUGCCAAAGUGAGGUCCAGAUUAUUUCCAUGACAGCCCCCUCUGUGCACUGUGACCCAGAGACAUCCGUUGAAGAGAAACUUCCAUGUCUUAUCUGUUUCUUGAAAUUCACACCACAGUUCCUAGAGAUCCAUGUUAGCAUGUGUGGAGAAAGAAGAGAGGAAGAUUGUAAGUUCGCUGAGACACCUGCCAUGAGCCAGGACAAUGGAGUGGAGCAGAACAAAAGUGUUGAUGAUGUAUUGGGCAUCAUUUGUCAAAGAGUUGACACAGAGAAAUCGUUCAACAUCCAAAUCUCAAGAACAAACAUUCUGGAGAGAGGCAUUCUGCAGUGGCAACGUCAAAAGAAAAAUUCACCCACUGCUUCUCUGAAAGUGACCUUCUUUGGAGAGGCAGGAGUAGACACAAGUGCUCUCCGUAAGGAAUUUCUCACAGAAAUGGUGGCAGGAAUUGAGGGUCGUUUCUUUGAGGGACCACAGCAUCAGAAGAGCCCACGAUACUCUCUGACUGACUUAGAUAGUGGCCUCUACAGGACUGUUGGAGAGAUUUUGGCUGUUAGUUUGGCACAAGGUGGCCCAGCCCCUGCCCUUUUCAGCCCAUGGACCUACAGUUACCUCUGUAGUGGGAAGAUAAACCCAACAGUGAUGCAGUGGCUGAUGUCCAGUUGCGAGGGUUAAUUGAGCAGGUUGAGUUGUCGACUGACCAUUCAAUUAAAGACCUAACUGAUGAAAUCUUAAGUUGCGGAUAUACUGGAGCUGUCACAGUUCAAAACAAGGAGUCCAUUGUUCGGUAUGCUAGGAUACAAGGGCCAUAAUACUCCAUGCAGUGCUGAGGUUGCAGCCUAUGUUGGAACAACUAAUGGAAGGCCUGCAGCUGUAUGACCUUCUUUUGCUCAUCAGGCAGUACCCAGAUAUCUGCCAACCCCUGUUUGUUCCUGGAGAAGAUGUCAAGGUCAAUGCAGAGUUUGUCAUGGCAUCCAUUCUCCCUCAACUGAGUGACAAAGGGACUACCAGGCAUCAGGUUGAGCUGGAGAUGAUUAACUUUGUACAGGACUUCCUUUAUUAAGUUGAAGCUGAAGAUCAGGGGCAUGUGGAUGACAAAGACAGCCCAGGUGAAGAUGACAAAGAUGGCCCAAAGACCAAAAAGAUCACACCUGCGAGGUUUCUGCAGUGGAUCACAGGCCAAGGUCACAUCCCACUCCUUCCCUCAGAGAAGAAGGAUUUUGCUGUAACGAUCAAGUUUAACCAUGACUGCAAUGCAGACUUCGGGCAUCACAAAGUCUGUUACCCUGUUGUGUCAGCAUGUUCCAAGACUGUUGUGCUACCUGUAAGACAUAUGAGGUCCUAUGACCAAUUCAAAGAGGUUCUGAAGGAGGCUUUUCAGCUAGGCCAAGAAUUCAACAAUGUGUAAUUCCAUUAAAUGUGUCUGUUUUCAAGGUUAAACUACAACCUAAAUGUUUAGCACCAAUUGCUAUUGUUUACUCUGUUCUGAUUUUAAAAAAUAGUACUGCAUUUGCAUUCCAAGAACUUGUUAUAUAACAGUACUGUUGAACAGUUUUAAAAGACAAAUAUCCAGGUUUGGAAGUACUUGGCUUCAACAAAUAAACAUUUAAAACCCA